CUCCCAGGGCUACAUGUAGGGCAGUGGCUGGGUCUGCUUGCUGGGGUCAGGAAGGCUGUUCUUCCAGGAAGGGCUGCAAAGACCCUGGGAACGGGACCAGCCCAGCUCACAAGUAUGAAGAGAAUGUCGGGAGAGGAAGUGGUGGCUGUGAGUCAGCAUGAGUCAUCUCGUUCCAAUGAGAAUGAAGAUUGAGGUGUGCGCCUUUUUUUUUUUGAGUCUCAAUCGUGUGGACAUCAUUGGGAAUGGAGGGAAAUAACUGACUGUAUGGUAGCUGCUUUUUAAGUUUCAAACUGACAUUCCAGGCGGGCUGUGCCUGAGCCAACAUCUGUUCUCACAUCUUCGCAGCCUGGUCCUGGGAAGGUGGAGCCCUCAGCUUCUCCCUGCCUUCGGCUGGCGCUGCCCACCUGAACAUCAUCAGGUGAUGCUGCAGAUCCAGAGAUCCACACUGAGGACCACUGGUUAGGGCCAUGGGCCAUGGGUGACUGGGAAACCUAGAAGCCUGUAGAUUGUCUCCAUUUCCCCUCUAAUCCUGAGCUGCUCUUCGUGUGUUCUAGACCAACCUUAGAGGUGAGAGAGAUUCUCCUAAAGCAGCAACCUGAGAGGGCGGAUGCUUAAAGGAGAGCACACAUCUGGAGCAGUAUCUAGCGGAUGGGAUGAGCUCAACAAACGAUAGCCAAGAGGACCCGGCGGCCAAGAGGACCCGGCUGUGUUCGGGGAAGCCCUGGGGAAGGCUCGCACUCUGCUGAUGGAUUAGUUGAAGGCUGAAACUUUCUGAACCACGGAAUAACUGGGAGAUUAAACAGGAAGCUUUAUGACACACUUGCUCGAAAAUGACACAAGCACCAAAAAACCAGGACUCAGCCCCCUGCAGCACCUCUACCUGCUGCCCACGGCCGAGUGCAGGGGAAGGGCUGGCCCUGCGACCUGACUCCAUCUGCCAUGGACUCUAAGGGCCUCCACAUUCCGUGAUGAUGUCUCUGCGAUAUUGUGGUUAGGGUCUAGUCUGGCCAGUCUCUGUGUGUCUUCAUCCCUUUUCCUUCAUUAAAAGCAUAA